rnacentral:rRNA from 1 species
AGUGAACGCUGGCGGUAGGCCUAACACAUGCAAGUCGAACGGCAGCACAUUAUUAGCUUGCUCUUACGGGUGGCGACUGGCGGACGGGUGAGGAAUACAGCGGAAUCUCCUUUUUCGUGGGGGACAACGUAGGGAAACUUACGCUAAUACAGCAAACGACCUACGGGUGGAAGCAGGGGAUCUUCGUACCUUUCGCGAUUGAAUGAGCCGAUGUCGGGUUAGUUAGUUGGCGGGGGAAAGGCCCACCAAGGCGCCACACCGUAGCUGGUCUGAGAGAUGGACUGUCCACACUGGAACUGGAACACGGUCCAGACUCCUACGGGGGGAAGCAGUGGGGAACUUUGGACAGAGGCCGCAAGCCUGAUCCAGCCAUACGGCGUGGGUGAAGAAGGCAUUGGGGUUGUAAAGUCCUUUUGUUGGGAAAGAAGGGCUGCAGGUUAAUGAGCCGAUGUUCUGACGGUACCCAAAGAAUAAGCACCGGCUAACUUCGUG